rnacentral:snoRNA from 1 species
UGUGAAGCGUUCAUAUUUUUGAUGUCUGAAUGAUGGUGAGGACGUCCCUAGCUACCAAGAUUGCUGAUACA